rnacentral:rRNA from 1 species
UACGUAGGGUGCAAGCGUUGUCCGGAAUUAUUGGGCGUAAAGAGCGUGUAGGCGGCCAAACAGGUCCACUGUGAAAACUCGAGGCUCAACCUCGAGAGGUCGGUGGAAACCGUCUGGCUAGAGUCCGGAAGAGGAGAGUGGAAUUCCCGGUGUAGCGGUGAAAUGCGCAGAUAUCGGGAAGAACACCCGUGGCGAAGGCGGCUCUCUGGGACGGUACUGACGCUGAGACGCGAAAGCGUGGGGAGCGAACAGG